AGAAACAGCAUUUUGUCUAUCCAAGUCACAUACAACACCAUUAAGUACCUCAAUGAUCAGAAAACAAAACUGAAAGCCAGUCAGGCAGUAAUGGUGUACACCUUUAACCCCAGCACUUUGGGAAGCAGAGGCAGAUGGAUCUCUGUGAGUUUAAGGCCAGCCUAGUGGGCUCCAGGACAGCCAGGGCUCCACAUAGGAAACCCUGCCUCAAAAACCACAAUACAACCCAACACAACACCCCACACACACACAUGCACGCACACGGGAGGAAGGGAAGCUUAACCAUCGUAUCUAGCCUCAGCACAACAGGACUCACAAUGAAUGACAGCUCAAAGAAUAAAAGAGAAGGGUAUAACGCGAACUGACCUGUAGCCAUUAAAACUUACAUCCUUAAAUUUCAGCAGCCAAACAUAAAUCUUAGGUUGAAUGACUGAAAGUCAUGAAGAAAAAAAUAAACUCUGGUCUAACAUGUUCUAACUUUAGUUACAGGAUGAGCAAAGGCCUCAAGUCCUCCACAAUACUAAAGCAUGAACUUUCAAGGUAGGGCUGGUUUAAUCCCUCCUCCCAAGUGACUGAUUCAUGAUCAAGUUAGAAAACCACUCUAUUUGAAGGGAUUAGGAACUCAGAUACAUCACAGGAAAUUAAGAUACAUUUUAGAGCCAGGCAGUGGAUGUGGAAGUGGUGGCUGAGGAGGUGGUGGCAGAGCACAUCUUUAAUCCUAUCAGUUGAGUGGCAGAGGCAAGCCAAUCUCUGUGAGCUCCAGGCCAGUCUGGUCUACAGAUCAAGUUCCAGGACAGCCAGGGUUACAAAGAGAAACCCUGUCUUGAAAAAACAAAGAACAACAAAAAAUGGUACACGAACCAAGGUACAUUUCAGGAAAAGCCCCUCCUAUAGUAUAUGAAUAAAAUCAUACAUAUUUCAAAAACUUACACAUCAACUGACAGCUCCUAAUGAAAAGCUGAGUUAAAGAUCUAGACUCCAGCCUGGGCUGAGUUAAAGAGCUAGACUCCAGCCUGGGCUCCGAGACCUGAGAGAAGUAGGAGAGGGAUGAAAGGAACGAGAAAAGAGAAAAAAAAUAUCCUUGUGCAGGAAGAAGGCUCCGUGCCAAAAAGAGUUUUUCAGGUCUUCAUAGAAAUGGAUCAAUCUUGAUGGAAGAAUGCUUCACAUAGGGCAUGGUGGCGCAUGCCUUUAAUCCCAGCACUCGGGAGGCAGAAGCAGGUGGAUUUCUGAGUUCUAGGCCAGCCUGGACUACAAAGUGAGUUCCAGGACAGCCAGGGCUAUACAGAGAAAGCCUGUCUUGAAAAACAAAAAACAAAAAACAAAAAACAAAAAACAAAAAAAAAGGCUUUACAAGGUGGACACAGUGGUGCACACCAGUAGUCCUAGCAUAAGGAUGGAAAAGGGCCACAGUUGAACAGGAAAGGCUACAGAGUAAAGACACUUUAGAAUUUUAAGGAAAAAAAGAAAAGUUAAAUUAAAUUACAGAAAGAAAGAAAGAAAGAAAGAAAGAAAGAAAGAAAGAAAGAAAGGAAGGAAGGAAGAAAGAAAGGAAGGAAGAAAGAAAGAGAGGAAGAAAGAGAGAAAGAAAGAGAGAAAGAAAGAGAGAGAGAAAACACAGAACAAAGACUUCAUACAACUCCUACUUAACCAAAUCAACUUCUACACUAAAUAAGAAUGAAAGUUUUCCAUCAGAACAUCUCUGAAACUUCCAGCCUAGGGCAAUCACUCCCUUCUAUGUAUGGAGAGUGGUGCUCUUGCUUCCAUGAGUGGCCUCCAAGGGCACUCUACACACAUGGUACAUAAUGAAUACAUGGAGAAUGAAGGCGAGAAUUAAGAGGCCAGCCUUAGCUACAGAAGACCCUCAAGAAGAGAGCUAGGAAAAGAGGAAAGUUCUCCAGGUUUUCACUGAAGAGUUUCCCUAGGAAGAGGAUACAAUCUGACAAUGUUUUAAAAUUUAAUUAAAAAAAAAAAACUCUAAAAUUGCAAAGAACCACCAUCCAAAUAAAAUCCAAUAAAAACACAUAAGUACUGUAUUUAAGACUUCCAGUUUUAUCCAUUUUAACAACUUCUACUGUUCUGUAUAUUUCUUCCCCUCAAAGAGGUGAAAAACCAUCUUACAGCAGAGUAAACAGAAACACCCUCUACAGUGAUGACAAAGCCAACUACAUAAAAAGCAAAAGUCCCCUAUGCAAAAUUCAUAGUGCAUUAAAAAUAGAGCUGAUUUUACCUGUGGCACUAUAAGCAAGGGCUACACUAAGUAGUUAAAAAUAAUGAAGUUAAAUUGAAACUGAAAGGAGAAAAUCCUCAGAUUUAAACUAUAAAUCCACUGGUGUUCUUGCCUUAAGGAUUAGUUUCUUCAUUUGGCAAAAGAUAGUAAAAGUAAUUCAGUGCCCAAUCCCAUAUACAAGUCACAGCAGUUUUGAACACAGUACUUCAUAUUCUAUUUAACCUUAGUUCACAAGAGACUCUGGGGGUGGAGGGAGAGAACGAUUUAGCCUAGAGUCACUUUCUUUUCACCAGAAGGCAACUUCUCAAUUUGACCAACUCCUCAGUCUGAUUCUUCACACACAAGUCUCUUCUCCAGGUCAGUAUCUUGUUUCUCUACUCCAUUCUACUUAAGUUCACUCAACUCCAUUCACAUUAUCCUUAUAAAAUAGCAUUCAAUACUACAAUCUUUCAUAACUUCACUGGCUCCGUGACCAUGACAACAAACUAAGUCCAGCACCAGUUUACCAAGCCUUACUCUUCCAAAUUACUCCAUUUCGAUUUCCACUAGUCCUUUCAGACCCCUAUAUUACAUUAAUACCUCAUUCUGACCUGAGUCUUCUUCAAGGCCCCUUCAUCCAAAUUAAACUACAAAUCUCAGGCACUGCCAUAUUUUAUAAACUGUUAAACUUACCCGAUCUGCCCAGUCCAAGUUCUCCAGUCACUUAAAAAUAUUCUUCUGGCUAAAGAAUUAAAUAUUCCCAAGUAGCCUAUUUUCACCCCCUUCAAAACUUACAACACUGGCUGGGCAGUAACAUUCAUAUGCUUGUUAAAUCUAGCACUCCUAGCACUCAAGAGGCUGAGGUAGAAAGAUCUAAAGAUCAAGACCAGCUUGGGCUAUAUAGUGAGUUCAAGCCAGACUAGACUAUAGGAAGACCCUGCCUCAAAAGUAAAAAUAAGGGCCUGGAGAAAUGGCUCAGUGUUUAAGAGUACUUGCUGUUUUUCAGAAGUCUCAAGUUCAGUUUCCAGCAGUCUGUCAGGGUGCUCACAACUGCCCAUAACUCUAGCUCCAGAGGCUGAUACCCUCUUUGGGCCUUCACAGGCACCAGCACACAAAUGCGCGCACACAUAUAUAGACUCAUAUGUAAGAAGAUAGUAAAAGCAAGCCUCUUGAAAAUAAUAAGAAAAAAACUUAAAAUGUAACAAGAAGCACAACCCAUUAAGUCCAUAGCAGUUAAACUCCCAUAAGAGCUAUCUCAUAUCUCACAUUUUAAUACUGAGACUAAGAAUUUCUCAAGCCACACUAUGAAAAAGAUAAAGCACAAUCAAAUAAAUAGAUUUAUAGUUGAGAAAGGUGUUUUAUUACCCUUUUUCUAACAAUAAAUUGUGUCUGACAUCAAGACCGCAAAUAUACUUUCUUGCUUUUUGACCACAGACAGAACCAGACCAAGGCCAGACAUAUUAAAGGAAGCUCUAUAUCAGAAAUAUAAAGUUGAAAAUACAGAAUUAUUACAAUGUUCUCAAUAUCCUGCACAUAAUAAGAUGGCUAUCUUUAGUGGCAUCUGACCCAACACUUCAUUUUUCUUCAAGCUAGACACUUGUAUCAUUAGGACUUUCCAAGAAAUGGAGACAUAAAUGGAGCUUUUUUGGUGUCAUAUUAAAAACAUGGUAAGGGGGCUGGAGAGAUGGCUCAGCGGUUAAGAGCACUGACUGCUCUUCCAAAGGUCCUAAGUUCAAAUCCCAGCAACCACAUGGUGGCUCACAACCAUCUGUAAUGGGAUCUGAAGCCCUCUUCUAGUGCAUCUGAAGAUAGCUACAGCAAACUUAAAGAUAUAAUAAUAAAUAAAUCUUUAAAAAAAAACUGGUAAGGAAAAGUGCUAAGUGGUUAAGAUAAGCUGAUAUCGCUCAUCGAUAAAUAGAUAAAUAGAUAAAUAGAUGGAUGGAUGGAUGGAUGGAUGGAUGGACAGACAGACAGACAAAAAGAAUCCACUUUCUAUUUAUCAGUCAAGCCGGAACUUUCUACCUACAUACUUAAGUGACUGGUACUUCUCAAGAAAAAGACAAAGUCCUUUAAAAAGUUGUGAUAAAGCUAGACUUUUAUCAAAUUUUGUGAUAAAGUUUUGGUGCUAGGUUUUCUAGUUUGGGACUAAGGUAAUCUAUCUUCUUAGAAAACAGGAUGACUCAUAGUCUAUCCUUCCUCACUUAAGUCAGUGACCACAUUCAACUGUUUAACAAGGUAGGGAAAGGGAGGAAUCCCUAUCCAUCAAUCAAUAGUUUAGAUCACUUUAGUUUAACUUUCACUUGGUAAAUAAACAAAGACAGGCAGGCACACAUCUUUAAACCCAGCACUUGGGAGGCAGAGGCAGGUGAAUUUCUAAGUUCAAGGCCAGCCUGGUCUACAUAGUGAGUUCCAAGACAGCCAGGGCUACACAGAGAAAUCCUGUCUCAAAAAACCAAAAAGACCUUAAGUUUAGUAUGAUUUUGGAAAAGAAUUUUGAAAUUUUGAAUUUUGGAAAAGUAACCAGAGGAAGAAAAAAUACCGCUAAUUCUAAAAGACAGCAAAAUGCAUAGACCACUUUAAAAAUGUUAAAGUCAAGGCUCUAUUUAAUCAUAACUUCAUGUGAGUUCUAUACCAUCUGAGGCAUUUUUAUGUCAUUUAACUCUUGGUAAUCUUCCAUUUAUAGAUGACAAAAUUAAGCAGAAUUUUUCAUCAUUCAACUCUUCAGGCAGAACAAGGAUUCAAACUUAUUCUAAUUUCAUCAGAAUAUUUUUAAAGCAAUUAUUUCUAUAAUCAUCUGAGAUAGAAAGAAUAAAACUUGAGUAUCUGGAAUGAAUAAAAUAUUGAGAAAUAUUACUCUUUUCAAAGCUGAGAAUACUCUUUAGACAAAUGUUACGAAGGACACACUUAUUGGUGUCAAAAAAAAAAAAAAAAUCACAAAGUACCAAAAUAAAAAAAGUAUCCUAUCACAUAAACCCAGUUCUACAAACUCAGUUGACUGUGGGCCUUUGACCCGAUCUUAAAGGGAAAAAUGGUUUUAACAUUUGCCAAAGAUUCUUAAAAAAAAACAAAAAAAAACAAAAAACAACAACAAAAAAAAACUACAGCCACAGAGCCUCAAAACAGCUUUGUUUCUUUAUAAAAAGGAUUCAUCAACAUCUAAAAUAUUGAUGAAAGGAGAAUCCCUCCUCUACCUCAGCUUUUUAAGCAAUUGAAUGUUGUGAGUAACCCAGGAUGUUCAGGCUAUCUAUCAGCCAGCCUGUUUCUGUAAGGAUGAAAGGUAGAUUCCCUUAGCUCCAAGCCAGAAAGUCUUUUAGCACCAAAAGAGGGGAGGGAAAAAAGCAAAUGGUUCUGUCUCACCAGGAGGUGGCAACAGAUUCUUCCAGAAGUUCUGCUCAUGAGAUCAAGUGUAUUAGGAAAUGCAACCAGCUUAUCCUCCAGGCCUUGCUACACACAAUGAAAAUGGGAAAGGAGACUCAACAGGAGAAAAGAACUCCCAACUAGAAAAAUAAUCAAUUUUAAAAGUAUCUGGGUUAGUUAUCAAUAGAUUUAAGCAGGAUGGUCUCUGGUUUAAGGCCAGCCUGAGCUACCCAGGACGCUGUCCCCACCCUCCAAAAAAAGUACAAAGUAGUUGAGUAGUUGGUUAAUGGUGAAAAUAACCAUCCUGCAUUGUUCAUUUGCUUCUACACUUCUUGAGACACUCUACAGUUCAGACUAGCCUAGUGUCACUAUGAAGCCCAGACUGGCCUCAAAUUCCGAGUCCCCUGGCCUCUCAGCCCCUUAGCAGCUGUGAUUUCAGGUAUGUACCUCUUUGCCCAACUAUGUCUACUUGUAACUGUUUGACCUUUAUCUGGUUGAUCAAGACAAUAUCUUUCUAGCUCCACAACUUCAAGCAAGGUGGCUUUAAAAAAAAAAAGAAAAAGAAAAAGGAAGAAAGUUAAAAGUAGAAAAAUGCUAAAGUUUAAACAUUUCCCAGAAGACCUAAACCAGAAGUCAAAACAGGAAAUCAGAAAUCAACUGAACAUGAUACAGGAGUCACAGGUACUGGGUGACUGCAGUAGCUAGCUCCUUGGCCUGACAUUUGCUGUCCUGCAUUCACCAAUAAGCACCAGCCUGCUUACUCUGAGUCUAACACAACUCUUCAGUCUGCCAAGAGGCCAUGGACACUUAUCAAGCAUUAGUAUGAAACAUGCCAUGUCAUGAAACUCCUUGAUAUAUCCAAGAUGAUGACUCAGCAGUUGCUGCAAAACAACCAGUUGACAAGCUCGGCUAGUAGAGGACAAUGACAUCCACUAAGUCCGAGGUGGGUCCGCCCUACUCAGCUCUGUGUCCCCGUCCUCUGCUCCUGCUCUCAAGGCUUGGUUUGGGUUCCCCCACUUCAUUUUUCCUAUCGCUAACUUGAAUAGAAGGUCGUUUGAAGAAGUACUUAAAAAUGAAACGGAGAAGUUUCUGGAAACUUUCUGUGCGGGCUGCAAGGUAAAACAACAACACAAAGCACUGCAGAUCUGCCUCAGAGCCACACCAGAGAGGCUGGCUCCUGCGGUUAAGUGUCUUUGGCAAGUUUUGGAGGAAAUCUCCCUCCGGCUGCAAGCAAUACAGAAAGGCUUCCGGAGUGAUGGGAGAGAGCAGAGAGGAAGGCUGACGAGAAAACUCUGAAUUCUGACAGAGUCCUCACUAGCCAUUCUGAAAAACGCACCCUCAAACUGUGCCGGGUCUUCGGGAACCCUGACUCACCGUAGGUCGCAGCUACUCCUCCUUAAGUCAGUCUUGGCUGUCCAGGUUGGCUGCUUGGUGACCGAGAUUCAAAAGCUGCCUGCUGAGCAAACAAACGAAAGGAACCAGGAGUGAACUGUGGCAGCAAUGGUGUUCCCCGCAGGCUGGGUGUCACUUACCAGCCUCAUCAAUAAUGAAGGAUUGAUAAAUAAUCCAUUGCAAAGAAAGGACCCUCCUAUUGUCACCUCGUAUUUCCCAGCUUUUUACAACCAUGGUGCCAGAUGUAAAUUGGAUAAAUUAAGUGAGGAUUUAAUUUUAUUUACAUUUA